GCAUGUCUCUAAAUAUAUGAUUUUAAGCCAGUAGGCCUUGGCAUCUGCUAUUCUCAAUGUACCCUUGGGAUUUUCAGGUCUUUUCAUCCAGCCUUAACAUAAAUUCUAUUAUAAAUAUCCAGGCAGCUAGGUGAUGCAGCAGAUAGAUCUCUAGGAGAGAAGUCAGAAAUAUAUUUGUUCAAAACCAUUACUAGCUAUGUAACCUGGGCAUGGCAUUAUGUGCUACAUAUUCUCUUUUGUUAACUAAUUCAAAGUGCAUAUAUCUACAUAGAAAUCCUAUAUAAAUCUACAUUUAUAUCUAACUUGAUAUUGAUACCUGAAUUUUCUAUAUUCAGAAGAUGGUCUUUGACUAUGUUGUAUUCUAAUUUAUUAAUAUUUAUAAAGUGCAUCUAUAAACUUUUCUUUAAUCAAUCCAUUAACAAACAUAGUAUGAUUUAUAGGUUUAUUGAGUUUCUUACUGGGGAAGGAGUAGAGAUUUAUUAACUCUCUUACUGGGAAAUUGAGUGGCGAAUAUGGGAAAAGUAGAAAAUUAUAUACUGGUAACAAUGCAGGGCAAAGAUUUCUGGCUUCUCCCUAUCUUUGAAGUCUUCAUAAGUGGAACUCCAAGGUAAUUUCAGUGGUUCAGAGUUAGUUGCUAAUGUCAUGAUGAUAAAUGAAAGGAGUUUUCUCAGUUCAAUCUAAGUCAAAAAUUGUCUAGGAAAGAUAUCAUUGAGGCAGAAGCAAAGGAGUCAAAAGAUAGAUUUUACCAAGAAUUGUGGCAGGCUGGCUGGAUAUGGUUGUGCAUUUGAUUUCCAAAAGGGUUGUGAUAGCCCCAAGAUUAGAGCCAGCUAGAUGGGGCAGUGGAGAGAGCACUGAACCUAGAGCCACAAAUAUAGCCUCAGCACUUAAGUAGCUAUGUGAACCUGAUCAAGUCACUUUUAUCCUCUUAGUUUCCUCAACUGGAAAAUGGGAAUAAUAAUAACACCUAUCUCCAAGGAUUAUAAUAAAGCUAAAAUGAGAAAAUAUUUGUAAAACAUCAGCAUAGUGCUAUAUAAAUGCUUAUUCCCUUCUCCUUCUCUGGGGGUUGGGGCACAAAAAGAACUGUGAAUAGUCUCCAACAGAAAAGAGGAAUGCUUAGUAGACAUUAUCCUAUUUCCAAAAGAACAGGAGCUCCUUUGAGAGCACAUAUGGUUUUAUUUUUUCCUUUAUAUCUCCAAUAUCUAGAACAACUACUAGCAUAUAAUAGUAACUUAAUAAGUUUUUGUUAAUUGAAUGAUUGCAUAUGGCCUAUAUAUUUGAUCUAUUUGUGUUAUGGCUUUUAUGUGCUUUAUAUUCUCGUUGGUUAAGUAAUUCCAAACUGGAUAGUUGCAAUAGUAACUGCAAUUCAACAGAUGACCAGAAGAUGACAGCAGCUCACUGGAGAAUCAACUGAUGAACACACGCUCACCAGGGAAAGGAACCCAGAUGUUGAGCAAAGCAGAGAAAAUAGCCCAACAAAUGGCCCCAGUACCUUGUAGAUCAAAGGAAGAGCAAAAAGCUAAAUUUGGUAGAGAAAUUUGGUAGACUAGCAGAUUACCAGGUUAGCAGAUGACAUUAACAGCCUUGAGGAUAAGAAGCAAGUGGUCACUUUGGAGGCAAAGGAAGAUUCCCGAUGGGAUGACACCAUAGAGAUAAAUCCCUCGCCAUGUGUAUUCUCCUUGAAUCUUUCUCUCUUCCCAUCCUGGUGUAGAAAUCUGCAGCUGAGUGAGCCCUGAUGAAUAUGGGGAGAUUUUCUUUAUUAUUCAUUUUGUGAUGCUAUUUAAUGUGUGCUUUUUGCUUUGAAUUAGUGGUUUUGUCUGGUAAGAGAAACAGCAGUGGUUUUUAAUAAAUGCUGAUCCACAUGCUAUGCUUUAUAUUAUGUAGGUUUCAGGAACCCACAUGUGAAUGAGCUCCAACCUAUAGACAAGAAACAGAGUUGUCAGAAAAGUUUUGUUUACUGACAAUUUUUAUUUUCUCUCCCUGCCCUUCCAUCCUGAUGAUUUACUUCAAAACAGCUCAAACUACGAUGAAAUCCAAAGGAAAAAAAGCUGUUGACUUCAGAAAUUGUUUUGUGGCCUGACAUGUUAGAUUAUUGGAGGAUUUAAGGUUUUUUGUUUUUCUCUUUGGUCUUGACUUGUGAGUUCUUCAGUGUGGGAAACUCUCUCUCAUAUGAAGUAUUCCCUUUACCAGCUGUUGUGAAACUUAAGUCUUAGAGAGGUGCUUGGGUCAUUGAAAGUUUAAAUGAUUUGCUAAGGGUCACACAACCAGUACACAUUAGAAGUACACUUUAAGUACAUUUUUAAGUACACUUAAAUUGAGGAGUUCCUGCUUCUGAGGUUAUUUCUUUGUCUGAUAUGCCACACUGCUUCAACCAUGGAAAAUGCCCUUAGUCUAAUGUCUCUAAGGCACCAAGGAAGGUCUAGACUUUAUCUUUCUAUGUUGUUGGGGAUUUUGCUUCUGAAGAGCUUUGGAAUUAUCUUACAGUCCUGACUAAGGGAACAAUUUUCUUAAGGUGAUUGACGUUGAAAUUUUGGAGAAUGAGAUAUUCCAGCAUCAACCAAUUUGGAUUCCACAGCUUGGAGAGUGAUAAUGGGUAAACAAUUUCUUUCUGAUGCUAGACUCCCAUUUUGAUGAUCUCCAAUGCACAUUCCUCCUUUGGAACUGGCUUUUCUUUUUUUAAUAAUCCCACUAGAAACUUUUAUAGAUGAUUCUGAAAAGAGAGACAUGAAAAAGUUGGGUUACCAAAGUCAGGAGUGCAUCCUACAUAAUAUAUAAUCUGUACCAGAAGCUGUAAUGUUUCUGGUGUUUCCCUAUUGCCUGUUCUACCAAUCAGUCAUGGUCUUACCUGUGUUUAUGUAGCCAAGGAUGCAGAAUGUGAUGGAGAUGUUAACAUUCAUUAUGAGAAGUACUUUUUGCAGUGAAGAAUAGAAUCCAUUUAGAGCAAACUUGGUUGGUGAGUAAGCAGAAAUAAGUGGCAAACCUAUCUUCCCCUAGAUGAUAAACAGAAGUUGAUGAUUGGGGAUUAUACCUCUUAGCACUGAGAAAGCUGAUCUCUUCUAUUUUCUCAACCAGUUGUGUCAUUUUGGGAAAGCUCAACUCCAAAAUCUCAGUGUUGAAAGGGACAUCAGAGGCCAUCUAGACCAGGUGAUCUAUGACCAAGAAUCCCCUCUAUAAUAUCACUGACCUGUCAUCCUUCCUUCUGUUUGAAGAUCUCUAGGGAGGAGGAACCUGUCAUAUUCACCUACUCCAUUCUUCUUUUGAACAGUUCUGAUCAUUACGAAGUUUCCCCUUAAUAAUCCAAUCUGUCUAUCAUGCCAGUCUAUUACUCCUACUUUUACUAUCUCAAAUCAAGCAGAACAAUUCUAACUCCUUUGAAUACAGAAGCAGAAACAGGUUUUAGAGUAGCUUGAGGAUUCAGCUGGAGGAGGAAGAAAGGUCAAAGGAAACCAGGUGGAACUCCAGUUUAAGAGAUCUUUGUUUAGCAUCCAGACUAAUUCAGUAAGCCAGUCAAUCAGCAUUUGUUAGGCACCUAUUAUGUUGAAGACAAUACUCUACAAUAUUUCCCUUUUUAUACAUGCCUUCUUUUGUUUUAUUCUACUCAGAAAAGGGAAAAUUUUAUUAGUAGAAAAUUGAGAAGCUAUAAAACAGGUCUAUAAAGUUACCAAAAAGAGAAGCAAUUUUCUUUCUAAUUCCUGAUGACUGGAUUAUUCAAUUUGUCCAGUCAGAGAACAUGUCUGUAUAAUUAGAGAGAAUAAGAUGUGGAGUCCAAAAAUGAAAAAAAAGCAUAGCAUUGAUUUUAUCUUUAUCUAUCCCAAUUUUUUUCUAAAAAAUAUUUCAUUUGUUUUUAAUCAGCCAGAAUAUGUCUUUUCACCUCCCCCCAUCAAUGGAGAACAUGAAAAACAAAAACUAUUAUAAACAUCUAUAGUCAGUCAAAUAAAUGUUCACAUUUCCCAUGUCCAGUUUUGUUGUUGUUGUUGUUCUACAUGCUGAAUGCUCCAUCUCUCUAUCAUGAAUAGAUAGCAUACAACAAUCCAUUCUUUGCUCUGGGAUCAUGGUUGGUCAUUAUGCUGAUAAAAGAUGAGCACAAUAGUAUGCCAUUGCAUUUAUAUGGCAUAACUUGUUCAGAUUCUCAUUCUUUGACACCUCAAAGAACUAUAAAUAUUUAUGUUCGUCCUUUGAGUUUGUUUUGCCAGAGACUAAUCCCUCCCCAAAUCUAGCUUCCCUCCCUUUUCUCCUUUCUCGGUACACUGCUUAAGCCCUUCCUUUCUAGGAAUGCCAACUUGUGCACAAACUGAGUCUGUAAACCAUAAUUGGGUAGAGGAAAACAAGGCUUCUAAUUUGUACCUGUCCCUGUAGAAGUACCCUGCAGAUUCUUCCUGGUCCCUGGACUCACACCAGCUGUGAGCUCCUGACCAGACUCUGUCCCCAGGGUCAGAAGACAUCCUUAUCUAUUUCCCUUUGCUAAGCUGGACUGGACAAAUAACUCAAUGUAACUUUUUCUCUAUUUUUCCAUUAAGAUUCAGUCUGAUGCAUUUUUUAGGUCUUUAUAAAGGAAAUUCAUGAAAGGGAACUUGGCUUCACCAGUUCCUAACAUUCUGCUCUCUUGCCUCUGCCACCAUUCACCUCAGUUUCUGCAUGAAAAAUACCAGCAUCUUUUCUUUCCAGUUCCUCCAGACACACAGCAUUAUUUUUAUCAGUAGAAAAGAGAAACUGCAUGUGCACCCACAUGUGAGCACACACACAUGCACACACACACACACACACACACACACACACACUUUUGCAAUGACAAACUUGAAACCUUAUAGGUUCCCCAAAGGAGUAGCUAUUUUUGGAUCUAAACUAUGAUUUUGUUGGCAUAUGAACAUCUAGUGAAGAAAUUUUCUCUAACAAUGUCAAUCAGUAUCUAUAAUGCAAUUUUUAUUCUUUGGGGGCUGCCUGGGGGCUCUGAGAGAUUAAAUGACUUGAAAAAAAAGAAAUUAAGUGACUUGCCCUAAAAUUCCGCAGCUAGAAUGUUUCAAACUGGAAUUUGAAUUUAGGUCUUUCCUCCUCAUCCCAAGGCCAGCUCCCUCCUGCUACACCACUCCUAUGCCUCUCAGCAUGGAGUUUACAGUCUAGAAGAAGAAAUGACCCCUAGAGAAGCAAGAUUGAGCAUGUGUGAGAAAUAAUUACUUUAUUGAUUGAUUGGUUUCUUGAUCCAAGAUUAAUCCUUACGUUAUCUACAAUCAUUCUUACUCAAUUUAGUGUGACUGCAAAUGGGAAAUGAUUAUUUGAUAUAAUCAUUGAGUCAUAGUCAAUCAAGUUUAAUCAUAUAGAUAUUGAUCCACAUUAUAUUCACAAGUUAAAAUAUUUUCUUUCUUAUAUCAGUACCUAUUGGCUGUAUAUUUUUUAAGAGCCCUGAGAACACUUGCCCAAAAAUAUACUACUUAGAGGAUCUCCAUCCAUUCACCGGGAUAAGUAAAUGCUCGUAUGGGGAAGGGGAUGACUGGACCUUUGGGCUUUUGCCCACUGACAUUUUUUCCAUUUCUGAGCUUGGGGAAAUAAGCAUUCCAUUUCCCCAUUCUAUGACUCUUUAAUCCUUAAUUAUGUUCAUCCUUUGAGUUUGUUUUGCUAGAGACUAAUCCCUCCCCAAAUCUACCCUCCCUCACAUUUUCUCCUUUCUCAAUACACUGCUUAAGGCCUUCCUACCCAGGAAUGCCAACGUGUGUAUACACUGAGUCUAUAAACCAUAAUUGGGUAGAGGACAACAAGGCUUCUAAUUUGCCCCUUCUGUGACCAUUCAAGGAAAGUGCCAAGUUAUUUUAGGAGCUCCUUUGCCUUUUGUUAUUUCUCUCUGUUAUCCAACUUUGGGAUGGGAUUCUUGAUUGCCCAACUUUGGUAGGAGAGUAAUUCUGCCAGUCCAUUGCUCAGCCUUGGGGAAAGAUCUGCCCAGCCUUAGGACCACUAAUAUGACCAUGUAAUCAUUAAUGAAAUUUUUUAUCUUUUUUUGAACCAUUUGGAUAAUCUAUCUAUCUAUCUAUCUAUCUAUCAUCUAUAUCUGUGCUCUGGAGAGAAGGGGUAUCUCGAAUCAUGAGGAAGAUCUAAGGUCCUAGUGAUUAAAGGAGGUCAGAUCCCUUUAAUAAGUAGCUUUUGGCUUAGAGCUCUGCCUCAGGAGUUUUUAUUACAGAUUAAGCAGAACUUAUGGAAUGACACAUAAGUUAAAAAAAAAAGACAAGAAUAAAAAUGGAAAAGAAAUUCUGGAAAGUAGCAUUUGAAACUCCACUUAAACCAAUUCAUUAAUUGUACAGUCUUAACCAAGUUAUUGAUUUUAUCCUUACUGCAAAAUAAUAACUUCUUGAAGAGAUCUUUUGAGGAUUGAAUGAAAUAAUGUCUGGGAAAGGGUUUAAUGAAGAAUAAAUUUGUAUACAGGUCAUGAAUGUGAGGCAUUUUUGUGAUUUCACAUUAUUUUCUUUUAUGACCUCUGUUCUCCAUACAUGACAUUCCAUUUCUGGCCUCCAUGCCUUGGCAGAAGCUCUCAUCCUUCAUUCCAGGAAUGCUCCCUCUUCUUUCCUUUGCAUUUUGGAAUCUCUACUCUCCCUCAAAUCUCAACUCAAGUUCCACCUUCUUUCUCCAAGAGGCUUUUCCUGAUUAAUUCUUUACUUCUCACUCCAAAAUUUGAUUAUAAUACAAAAUUUUUAAGGAAAUGGGUGCUAACUCUGAGGUGUGUGUGUGUGUGUGGAUAUCCUUCUAUCAAUCUUGUAUGUAUUCACACAUAUGUAUAUGUUUACUUAUCCAUGUACAUAUUGUUUUCCUUCAGUAAGCAACAAGAGGACAAGGGCUAUUUCAUUAUUACCUUUGAAUUCUCUAGUAGGUCCCCCCCCUUUAAUCCUUAUCUUCUGUCUUAGAAUUGAUAAUAGAUAUCAGUUCCAAGGCAGAUGAGGAGUAAGGGAUGGGCAAUUGAGGUUAAGUCACUUGCCCAGGGUCACACAACUAGAAAGUGACUGAGGUCAUAUUUGAAUUCAGGACCUCCUGUCUCCAGGCUUUACUCUUUAUCCACUGAGCUACCUAGCUGCUCUUAAUAAAUAUUUAUUGAAUCCCUAACUUCCUUGCUUCCUUUUAGUUCAAACUAAACAUCCUUUUUUCUACAAAAAAGAAAAAAAAAUAACAAACCUUUCUCAACACCCUUAAUUCUAAUACAUUCCAUUUUAAAAUUAUUUCCCUUCUGUCUUGUAUAGAACUUACUUGUCCAUUUGUUUGAUUAUCAUCUCCCCCAUUAGACUGUGAACUCCUUGAAGGUAGCAACUGUUUUUGACUCUUUUUGUGUCUUCACCACUUAGUACAGUGUCUGGCACAUAGAAGAGGCUUAAUAAAUAUUUACUGGUUGAUUGAACUGACUGUUGGAUAAUGGUUAACUGUUUUUUCCUAUUUUGUUUAAAGUUGUUGCCUUCCCUGUGUUGAUUAAUUCCAGUGAGUCUUGCAAAUAUCUUGUUUGUGCAUACUUGUCUCCCUUUAGACUGUGAGCUCCUUGAGGCCAGGAACUAUCUUUUAACCCUUUUUUGCAUCCCCAGCACUUAGCACAGUACUUAGUAGGUGAUUAUAUAAAUGUUUACUAACUGAUUGAAUUGAAUGUUGAAUAAUGAUAACUCCCCCCAUCUCUAUUAAAUAUUGCUGUUUGUUGAUUAUAUAUGGUAUACAGUUUAGAUAUAAAAUGUGCAAAGUUAAUAUUGAAUUAUGGAAUUGUUUCCCCUUUGACUCCACCUUAAAAAGUAUGAUUUUAAAGCUAAAAUAAUUUCUCCCCUAAGACUAUGAAACUGAGUUGGAUACUUUCUUUUGUUAAGAUCUUUGUAAAGAAUAACACAAUUAGAGGCAAGGCUUAGCAGUCACUUGAUUUACUUGUAUAUAUUGGCAUGUCUAAGAAGUUUGAGUUCACUUUUGCAUCUCUGUCUCUGUCUCUCCUCUAUGUCUCUCUGUAUCUUUCUCUGUGUCUCUCUCUUUCUCUCUCUCCCUCCUCUUCCACCCCACCUCUCUUCCCCUCCUCUACUUCCCUUUCUCCCUCUUUCUCUCCCUCUUCCCUUCCUUUCCUCCUUCCACACCUCUCUCUCAAUCUCUCUCUCUCUCUCCAUCUCUAUCUUUCCCUUUCCCUCUCCCAUCCUCUCUCCCCCAACUUUUUAUCCUGUUCAUUUUUUUGGAGUCUGUGGAGGGAGUCCGCUGGCUAGUUUGAUUGUUUUGAAUGGUAUUUUAAUAAGUAUUUUCAAUUUUAAGAAAUAUAGCCUCUGGAGAAUUCCAUGUAUUAUAUAAGCAAAUUAGGGGAACAGGGAAUAGUUUGCUUAUCAGAUCUCUGGGUAAGAGAAAAAUUUAUGAUCAAAUGAGAGAAUACUAUAAGAUGUGAAAUGAACAAUUUUGAUUAUAUUAAUGAAAAAGCUUUUGUACAAACAAAACCAAUGCAACCAAGCAGGGGCAGCUAGGUAGCUCAGUAAAUAGAAAGCCAGUUCUGGAUAUAGGAGGUUCUGGGUCCAAAUCAGACCUCAGACACUUCCUAGCUUUGUGAUCCUGGCUAAGUCACUUAACCCUAAUUGUCUAGUCCUUACCACUCUUUUGCCCUAGAACCUAUAUUUAGUAUAAAUUCUAAGACAGGAAGUAAGUUUUUUUUUUAAGAAGAGAAACAACAAUCUGGGGGAAAGUUUUUAUAGCAAUUUUUCUGAUAGAGGUCUCAUCUCUUAAAUAGAUAGAGAACUGAGUUGGAUUUAUAAAAUUAAAAGUCAUUCCCCAAUUGACAAAUGGUUAAAAGUUAUGAACAGGUAGUUUACAGAUAAGGAAAUCAAAGCUAUCUAUAGUUAUAAGAGAAAAGGUUCUAAAUCAUUAUUUGUUAGAGAAAUCAGAAUUAAAAAAAAAACUAUGAGGUACUACCUCACACCUAUCAACCUGACAGUAAAGGAAAGCAAUAAAUGUUGAAAGGGAUAUGGCAAAAUGGGACACUAAUACAUUGUUGGUAGAAUUGUGAAUGGUCAAACCAUUCUGGAGUCAAUUUGGAAUUAUGCCUAAAUAGCUGUAACACUGUUUUUUUUUUUUGAUCCAGUAAUGUAACUACUAGGUCUAAAUUCCAAAGUGAAUUUUUUAAAAACUGAAAAAGAGCCUUUACAUACAAAAAUAUUUAUAGCAAUUCUUUGUGUAGUGGCAAAGAAUUGGAAAUUAUGGGGAUAUCCAAGUAGGGAAUGGCUGAACAAAUUAUGUAUGGUAUAUGAUUGUGAUGGAAUAUAAUAAGAAAUUAUGAGCAGGAUAAUUUCAGAAAAACCUAGAAAACUCUAUAUGAAUUGAUGCAGAGUGAAGUAAACAUAGUCAGGAGAACAUUGUACACAGUAACAGCAAUAUUAUAAAAUAAUCAACUGUGAGACUUAGUUACUCUCAGCAAUAUAAUGAUCCAAGACAGUUCUGAAGGAGUUAUGACAAAGAAUGCUAUCUACCUCCAAAGAAAGAAUUGAUGGAAUCUGAAAGCAAAUGGAAGCAUACUAUUUUCCACUUUAUUUUAUUUGUGUGUUUUUAUUUCACAGUUUUGGUUUUAUAUGAGUAUUCUUUCAGAACAUGACCGACAUGGAAAUAUGUUCUGCAUGAUCAUACACAUUACAAUGCAGAUCAAAUUACUUACCAUCUCAGGGAAGGGAGAGGUAGAAAAGGAGGGAGACAAUUUGAAUUUUGUAAUUCUGGGAAAUGUAUGUUAAAAUUGUUAUUACAGGGAUAUUGGAAAAUAAAACAUAUUUAAAAAAUCAUUGAGCUCCCUUAAUGGAUGACCAAAAAAAGCUAAGCAUCAUAUUUCAAGGAAUCACAGAAGAAAAUUGACUAGAUCUCUUAGAACCAGAAGGCAAAGUAAAAAUAAUAACUUUUACUCUUUAUUGUUCACUGAUCACCUCUUGAAUGAAUACCCAAAAUGAAAAUUCCCAGGAAUAUUAUAAACAAAGUUCAGAGCUCCCAAGUUAAUGAGAAAAUAAUGCAAACAAAGAAAGAAUUCAAGUUCUGAAGAGCUACAACCAACUACAUACAAUUUUGUAGUCAUAAUUAUAAAAAAAAAUGGAGGACUUGAAAUAUGGUAUUUCAAAAAGCAAAAAAUAAAAAUGUGUAUAAAAUCAAUAUAUGUAGACAUGUACAUAUACUUACAUAUAUUUAUAUAUCUGUAUCUAUAGGUUAACAACCAAGAAUAAUUUACUCAGAAAAAUUGAGUAUAAUCCUAAAAAUAGAAGGAAUAAUCAUAGCCAAAGAGGAAACAAAAUUACCACUCUUUGCAGAUUAUAUAGUAGAGAAUCCUAGAAAUGCAACUAAAAAACUAAUUGAAACAUUGAAGAAAGUUGUGCAAAUCAUCCCCCAAAUUAUAAGCAUAUCUUUAUAAUACUGAAUAUCUGGGAAGAGAUAGAAAGAGAAAUACUAUAUGAAAGAAUCAUGUUGAGGAAACUUAUUUCUAAUAUUGUAUUCUAUUUAAGUACUGCUUGGUAUAAUUUUGUAAUUGAGGUGUGGUUUCUCUUUAAACCUUUUCCCCAAUUCCUUUAUUCCUAACAAAUCCAAGAAAUGCUUUCACAUUCCCUAUCCCAAAGUUACUUCUAAACUGGGGUGAUUGAAAGUGAGAUUGUGAGCUCCAUGUUGCCCAGUAAACAGAAAAAGUUUGUCAAGUAUGUCUUGGGAGUGGGGGUGGGGGUGUAGGUGGAGCUAUAGGAUUUUCAUAUUAAGUUCUACCCCCAGAUUCCCAUUCUAGCUGGGUAGUUCCUUUCAACUUUCAACCCAGCAGUUUUCCUUAUCCCAUAUUAUUAAACUCUCAAAACAUCAAAUAAAAUAAUAAAGACAACCAUUGGGGGGGGUGUAAAAUCAUUAUACUCUCAGUGAAACAAAAUACACUUAAGAUGAAUAUAAGCUUUCUUUCUUUUCUUUGUUUUAAAACUCUUGCCUUCUGUCUUAGGACUGAUAUUAAAGACUAUGCAACUGGGGUUAGUGACUUGCCCAGGAACUCACAGCUAGGAAAUGCCUGACACAUUAUUUGAACCCAGUUUCUCCCCUCUCUUCCAUGAAGUUUUAAACAGGUUUCAAUAGUUGAGAUCACUAAUCAUGUACAGACUGUUUAUGUAUCUCAAACCCUCCCCUUUAUCCUCAGGAAUAUGGUGGGGACCCAUUCUUUUCUUCUUUCUCCAGAUGCUCCCCUCUACCUUCUAGGUUGAGUUUUCUUGAGAGAUACAGAUCUAUAAUUGGAUUCUCUUACUGGAAUAAUAUUCAGUUAUUUCUUUUUCCUCCAACUCACCCUCUUCCUUUCAUAUAAUUACAGCUCUUAUUUUUGAUUGAGAAGGUCCCUCUUCCUUUCUAUGGACUACUAACUCUUCUGACAUUGGAAGAGUUCUGAGUGUACUUCCAAUACAGAUUCAACUGGACCCCUCUAAACCUUUCCUAAGAGUUCUACAGUAUCCCCUCUCACAAGAGGCAUUGGAAAGGACCAUACUCCCUAUUAAUACUUAUUUAUCAGCUGGCAUCUUAGUAAGAUGUUUCAGUCCCUGUAAUUAAUUCACUGAUACUUGCUGUUCGUAAACCUGGUAACCUCAUGUGAAUGCUUUGUCCGAGAUUUCUAAGCAGUCAGUGCUUGUGUGAUUCCUAGAACCCCCAUGGUCCCAUACCCUUUUUAAUCUUACCCCUGAUGACUCCACUGUUUUUACAGUUGUUAAUUUGUGUAGUGCCUAUUUUAGUAUAUCUCUCCACUACAAUUCCUUUUUACUUUUUCUUGUGAGGGAUAAUAGUUACUUGGACAAUUUGUGUCAAGGCUACAAAGAGAGUCCUACUAAUUUCUCACAGGUUUUAAAAGCAGACCCUGAUGACCUUAGAUUCCUUUCAGGUUCCACCCUCCUUCAGUAUGUUGAUGAUUUACUUUUGUACUCCCCAGAUCUCCAAUCCUCAAGAAAUGGCUCUAUUUAUCUUCUUACCUCCUUAGUUCACAAAGACCUUAAAGUAUCUAAAGAAAAACUACAGUUUGUUGCUCCAGGUGAAAAUUUCAAGACACUUGAUUUUGGCUAAUGGUUUCCACCUAAAUCCAGUCAGGUUGGCUGCAAUAUAGCAAUCUUUCUGAUCAUGAUUAAAGACCCUUUGUUAUAACUAUGGUGAUCCCUCACCUAUCUCAGGAGUUAUAUUCCAGAGACCCCUGCAAUAGGUGACAAUCUACGAAGUAGUGGCGUUACACAUAUUUCAUUUUUUAUAUAUAUUUUAAGGUUUUAUAAACCCUUCCCACUCUCCUAUAAACCUUUUCCACACUAUUUUUAACCUAUAAUCACUGAGCCAAUCAAUGCCCAGAAUACAGAAUACAGUGCUAUGAUUGGUUGCCUUUUAUUCCAUCAGCCAAUAGUGCACCUUGUACAAUCUCACAUAGUCAAACUUGUGCAAGUGGUAGUGGUAUAUUACAUUUCCAUUGUGUAUAGUAUGGUAUUCAUCCUCAAAAUCCUGCAAUAUAGUGAAAACUCCAUGAUAUAGAAUUAGAUAUAUAUUUAAAAAAAAAAAAACCUUGAUACAGUGAAGUUGUGAUAAGUGAACCACAAUGUAGCAAGGAAUGACUACAUAUUGUCUUUUUUCCAAGUUAACAAUGUCCAGGGCACCAGGAUUCAUUUAAAUUCACUCAUAUAUUGACUAGAUCCCUAAGCCUGGAGUACCAGUGGUCUGGUACUUUCAGUCAGAAAGAAUAGAGGAAGGAUUUUAGGCAAAACUGGGCACAAUGUAGAGCUCAACCAAAUAUGUGUGUGUAUGCAUAUGUAUCUAGAUAUAGGUAUAUUUAUAUCUAUGAGGAAAAAUAAUGUUGAAUUGUAUUAUUUAUUAUUUGAAUCCAUUCAUUUCCUCAGAUUCCAAUUUUUGAAGGCUAGGCAAUUUCUGAAGGGUGGAACUGAGUAAGCCCCCAAGGUUAACUCAUUAUUUCUGUUUACCCCAUAAACAAAGGCCUGUUUGACUUAAGACUCUGCCCAAGAGAUGUCCUUAUUUCUCCCAACCUUUGCCUCCCCUCCCCUGACAAUGAUGACUGAUGUCAGAGAGAGGAGCUGAGAACUCUUAUCCUACCUUGUCAUUAAAAUGGCCACCAACCAGCAUUGUCUUAAUUUCCCUAGACGUCCAAAUGAUGUUCCAUCAGGAUAAUCAAAGGAAGAUGCAUCUAGGUAUAAAAGACAUUGUUUUUGGAACAAAUGGAGGCACAUUAUUGACCCCUAUCCUUCAUUAAUUGAUUGCAUGCCACUAUUAAUAAAUGCCAUUAUGCUUACCUAAAUGGCCUCAUUCUAUUUAUUGGUUCAAUUUCUCUUGUGACAUUUAUCUUCCCAUGUUUUUAUAGAAAAUUACAUACAAUUAUUUCUAUAUUAUAGUUAUAUAUUUGGUUGGGAUUAUAACUUCUGCAUACACACAUAAAUAUAUAUAUAUACAUACACAUAUAUUUAUAUAUAAUUACAUACAUAGUUUUACAUAUUUUAUAUAACGUGUAUAUGAGUGUUUCCUUAUUUGUAAAAACAAAGAUCAUAAUGCUUGCGUUAGCCACUUCAUAGGUGGUUUAAAAAGCAAGUGCAUGAAAGUAAUUGAAGGGCUAUCAGGUAGAAGACCUUUUUCUGAGGACCAAGAUGUUGUAUAGCAAUAGAUUUUGUUUCAAUGAAAGAAAGAACUUAAAGAGCUGGCCAGAAGAGUAAUGGGCUGCCUCAGAAGGGAGUAGAUUUUCCUUAAUUUAUUAUCUUCAAGGAGUAAUGCUGUGGGAGGCCUGGUCCCAAGAAGAAAGAUUCAUUUUUGUGAAGUCCAAAACCUCCGUGUAGUUCUCAUUCCUGGGAGAAGCAAAGAUGUUUAUUUUCCAUAGAGAGAGAAUUCAAAGAAAACACAUAUGUUGGGACUUGGAUAAAACCAAGCCCUGAAGAGACUGGAGGUGAUAGACUUUUUUAUAAUGUUUCAAAAAAGAAGAAUGGGGAGUCUUCCUGGAUUGGAUAACAUGAGAAAACUGUCCCACACAGGCAGUGUUGUCAACUUUUUUGAAUCUCCUCAGGAUGGGACUCAGAUAAGACAAAGGGAAAGUCAGGGCACUUGUUUCUGAUCUGCUAUCUUUUUUUUUUUGUGGUACAAAGUUAUUCUGAGACAUUGUCACUGACUUAGGAGAUUGAUCCUGAUGUUCCAAAGCAAUUAAACAUCACAAAAGCCAUUGGAAACCCA